GUGCUGCAUGGUUGUCGUCAGCUCGUGCCGUGAGGUGUCGGCUUAAGUGCCAUAACGAGCGCAACCCUUGUUGUCAGUUACUAACAGGUUCCGCUGAGGACUCUGACAAGACUGCCAUCGUAAGAUGUGAGGAAGGUGGGGAUGACGUCAAAUCAGCACGGCCCUUACGUCCGGGGCUACACACGUGUUACAAUGGGGGGUACAGAGGGCCGCUACCACGCGAGUGGAUGCCAAUCCCCAAAACCUCUCUCAGUUCGGACUGGAGUCUGCAACCCGACUCCACGAAGCUGGAUUCGCUAGUAAUCGCGCAUCAGCCACGGCGCGGUGAAUACGUUCCCGGGCCUUGUACACACCGCCCGUCAAGCCAUGGGAGCCGGGGGUACCUGAAGUGCGUAACCGCGAGGAGCGCCCUAGGGUAAAACUGGUGACUGGGGCUAAGUCGUAACAAGGUAGCCGUACCGGAAGGUGCGGCUGGAUCACCUC
rnacentral:rRNA from 1 species